GAAAUUGAACUCGCUGUGAAGAUGCAGUGUACCCGCGGCAAGACGGAAAGACCCCGUGAACCUUUACUAUAGCUUGACACUGAACAUUGAGCCUUGAUGUGUAGGAUAGGUGGGAGGCUUUGAAGUGUGGACGCCAGUCUGCAUGGAGCCGACCUUGAAAUACCACCCUUUAAUGUUUGAUGUUCUAACGUUGACCCGUAAUCCGGGUUGCGGACAGUGUCUGGUGGGUAGUUUGACUGGGGCGGUCUCCUCCUAAAGAGUAACGGAGGAGCACGAAGGUUGGCUAAUCCUGGUCGGACAUCAGGAGGUUAGUGCAAUGGCAUAAGCCAGCUUGACUGCGAGCGUGACGGCGCGAGCAGGUGCGAAAGCAGGUCAUAGUGAUCCGGUGGUUCUGAAUGGAAGGGCCAUCGCUCAACGGAUAAAAGGUACUCCGGGGAUAACAGGCUGAUACCGCCCAAGAGUUCAUAUCGACGGCGGUGUUUGGCACCUCGAUGUCGGCUCAUCACAUCCUGGGGCUGAAGUAGGUCCCAAGGGUAUGGCUGUUCGCCAUUUAAAGUGGUACGCGAGCUGGGUUUAGAACGUCGUGAGACAGUUCGGUCCCUAUCUGCCGUGGGCGCUGGAGAACUGAGGGGGGCUGCUCCUAGUACGAGAGGACCGGAGUGGACGCAUCACUGGUGUUCGGGUUGUCAUGCCAAUGGCACUGCCCGGUAGCUAAAUGCGGAAGAGAUAAGUGCUGAAAGCAUCUAAGCACGAAACUUGCCCCGAGAUGAGUUCUCCCUGACUCCUUGAGAGUCCUGAAGGAACGUUGAAGACGACGACGUUGAUAGGCCGGGUGUGUAAGCGCAGCGAUGCGUUGAGCUAACCGGUACUAAUGAACCGUGAGG
rnacentral:rRNA from 1 species